rnacentral:tRNA from 1 species
CGCGGGGUGGAGCAGCCUGGUAGCUCGUCGGGCUCAUAACCCGAAGGUCGUUGGUUCAAAUCCAGCUCCCGCAACCA